CACCGCGGUUAUACGAGAGGCCCGAGUUGAUAGACCUCGGCAUAAAGUGUGGUUAAGGGUUAAAUUAAACUAAAGCCGAAGACUUUCAGAGCUGUUAUACGCAAAUGAAAGAUUGAAGCCCAACUGCGAAAGUAGCUUUAAAUCAUCCUGACGCCACGGAAGCUACGAAA
rnacentral:rRNA from 1 species